GGGUUACAAAGAUUUUGCUACCCACAGUAGCACAAUUGGAGACCCACCCCGAGGCUGCGGACCCGAGGAGACCCUUGACCCGACAAGAGCCCCAGGUGCCUAUACCAGAUUCCAUUUUCAGUUCAGGCCCAAAUCCCCAGGGGUUAGUCGGCUUAGAGGCGGAGCUCAGCGGCCUGGGCUGUCAGCGACCACGAGGACAGGGUCUCACACACUCCAUUGUAUACACAGCUGCGACCUGGACCCGGACUGGAGCCUCCUGCGCGAGUAUGAACAUAUCCUACAACGGCGCCAGUUACCUCGUCCUAAACCAGAAGAUGCGCUCUUGGACCGCAGCGGACAAGGCGGCUCAGAUGCCCUGGCGGAGGAACAUGCAGAGCUGGUCAAAACCUACCUGCAGGGAAGGUGGGCGGAGUGGCUCAGCAAGGCCUUAAGAAUGGGACGGAGACGCUGCAGAAUGCAAAAUCCCCCAAAACACACGUGACCCACCACCCCAUCUCAGACCAUGAGGCCACCCUGAGGUGCUGGGCCCUGGGCUUCUACCCUGUGGAGAUCACACUGACCCAGCAGCAGGAUCGGAAGGACCAAAUUCAGGAUGCAGAGCUUAUGGGGACCAGACCUACAGGGUAUAGAACCUUCCAGAAGUGGGCAACUGUGGUGGUGUCUUCUGGAGAAGAGCAGAGAUACGCAUGCCAUGUGCAGCACGAGGGGCUGCCAGAGCCACUCACCCUGAGAUUGCCUAAGGAGACGAAUGAGGGGUCAUGGCCAUCUUCCCAGCCCACAUUCCCCAUUGUGGGCAUCGUUACUGUCCUGGUUGUUCUUGGUGCUGUGGUCCCGGGUGCUGUGGUCGCUGCUGUGAUGUGGAAGAAUAAGAGCCCAGGUAGGAAAGAGGUGAGCUCCUAGUUUCUUCUUUCAUUGGUGGAUUUCAAGUCCCAGAUGGAAGUUGGCUCCUUUCCUGCCUAGUUGUGAGGCACCAUCUCCAUGCACAUUUACCCUGUUCAGAUGCCCUGUCAACUCUUACUCUUUUGUAAAGCACCUGUGAAAUUGAAGGACAGAUGUAUCACCAUGAUUGUGGACAUGGGAACCUGAC